CGAGGGGAGUGAAAAAGAACCUGAAACCGUGUACGUACAAGCAGUAGGAGCCCCACCACCAAAGCGUUUCGCUUUGCGUGGUGCGCAAAAUGCGUAACGACAGCAUGAUGGACGGUUAACGGAGCGUAAGCGACGUUCAACAUCAAAAAUCAGGCAGUGGAGCGUUUUGGGGUGGGGUGACUGCGUACCUUUUGUAUAAUGGGUCAGCGACUUAUAUUCUGUAGCAAGGUUAACCGUAUAGGGGAGCCGCAGGGAAACCGAGUCUUAACUGGGCGUUAAGUUGCAGGGUAUAGACCC
rnacentral:rRNA from 1 species